GACGAACGCUGGCGGCGUGCUUAACACAUGCAAGUCGAACGGAAAGGCCCUGCUUUUGUGGGGUGCUCGAGUGGCGAACGGGUGAGUAACACGUGAGUAACCUGCCCUUGACUUUGGGAUAACUUCAGGAAACUGGGGCUAAUACCGGAUAGGAGCUCCUGCUGCAUGGUGGGGGUUGGAAAGUUUCGGCGGUUGGGGAUGGACUCGCGGCUUAUCAGCUUGUUGGUGGGGUAGUGGCUUACCAAGGCUUUGACGGGUAGCCGGCCUGUGAGGGUGACCGGCCACAUUGGGACUGAGAUACGGCCCAGACUCCUACGGGAGGCAGCGGUGGGGAAUAUUGCACAAUGGGCGGAAGCGUGAGGCAGCAACGCCGCGUGCGGGAAAACGGCCUUCGGGUUGUGAACCGCUUUCGCCUGUGACGGAGCGUGAGUGACGGUAAUGGGUAAAGAAGCACCGGCUAACUACGUG
rnacentral:rRNA from 1 species